rnacentral:rRNA from 1 species
GACGAACGCUGGCGGCGUGCUUAACACAUGCAAGUCGAGCGAUGAAGUUUCUUCGGAAAUGGAUUAGCGGCGAACGGGUGAGGAACACGUGAAGAAUCUGCCCUCCACUUUGGGAUAACACCGGGAAACCGGUGCUAAUACCGAAUAUUGAAACAUAAGUGGCAUCACUGAGUUUUGAAAGAAUUUCGGUGGAGGAUGACUUCGCGGCCUAUCAGCUAGUUGGUGAGGUAAUGGCUCACCAAGGCAACGACGGGUAGCCGGCCUGAGAGGGCGACCGGCCACACUGGGACUGAGACACGGCCCAGACUCCUACGGGAGGCAGCAGUGGGGAAUAUUGGGCAAUGGAGGAAACUCUGACCCAGCGACGCCGCGUGCGGGAUGAAGGCCUUCGGUGUAACCGCUUCAGUAGGGAAGAAGCGAAAGUGACGGUACCUACAAAAGAAGACACCGGCUAACUAAUGUG